rnacentral:rRNA from 1 species
AGCAGUAGCCACGGGAAUACGUAGGUGGCAAGCGUUGUCCGGAAUUAUUGGGCGUAAAGGGCUCGCAGGCGGUUUCUUAAGUCUGAUGUGAAAGCCCCCGGCUCAACCGGGGAGGGUCAUUGGAAACUGGGAAACUUGAGUGCAGAAGAGGAGAGUGGAAUUCCACGUGUAGCGGUGAAAUGCGUAGAGAUGUGGAGGAACACCAGUGGCGAAGGCGACUCUCUGGUCAGUAACUGACGCUGAGGAGCGAAAGCGUGGGGAGCGAACAGGAUUAGAUACCCCAGUAGUCCCUGUCUCUUAUAC